rnacentral:rRNA from 1 species
GACGAACCGUGCGAACGUUAUUCGGAAUCAUUGGGCUUAAAGCGCGUGUAGGCGGAUGGGAACGUCGAUGUUGAAAGCCCCCGGCUCAACCGGGGAACUGGCGUCGAAACGACCCGUCUGGAGGGGCAUAGGGGGAGCUGGAACUUCCGGUGGAGCGGUGAAAUGCGUUGAGAUCGGAAGGAACGCCCGUGGCGAAAGCGAGCUCCUGGAUGUCUUCUGACGCUGAGACGCGAAAGCUAGGGUAGCGAACGGG